rnacentral:rRNA from 1 species
GACGAACGCUGGCGGCGUGCCUAACACAUGCAAGUCGAACGGAGUGUUUAUUUAUAAACACUUAGUGGCGAACGGGUGAGUAACGCGUAGACAACCUACCCUCUAGAUGGGGACAACACCGCGAAAGUGGUGCUAAUACCGAAUGUUGUAAUGUUAUUGCAUAAUGAUAUUACUAAAGGUGGCCUCUAUAUAUAAGCUACCGCUAGAAGAUGGGUCUGCGUCUGAUUAGCUAGUUGGUGAGAUAACAGCUCACCAAGGCAAUGAUCAGUAGCCGGUCUGAGAGGAUGAACGGCCACACUGGGACUGAGACACGGCCCAGACUCCUACGGGAGGCAGCAGUGGGGAAUCUUCCGCAAUGGACAAAAGUCUGACGGAGCGACGCCGCGUGAGUGAUGAAGGCCCUUGGGUCGUAAAGCUCUGUCAUUGGGGACGAACGACCGCAUCAGGAAAUGGGUGCGGAGUGACGGUACCCAAGAAGGAAGCCACGGCUAACUACGUGCCAGCCGCCGCGGUAA